rnacentral:tRNA from 1 species
UAGUAGCUCAGCUGGAUAGAGCAACGGCCUUCUAAGCCGUGGGUCGGGGGUUCAAAUCCCUCCAGG